rnacentral:rRNA from 1 species
GAUGAACGCUGGCGGCGUGCUUAACACGUGCAAGUCGAACGGAAAGGCUCCUGCUUGCAGGGGUACUCGAGUGGCGAACGGGUGAGUAACACGUGGGUGAUCUGCCCUGCACCUCGGGAUAAGCCUGGGAAACUGGGUCUAAUACCGGAUAGGACGAUGGUUUGGAUGCCAUUGUGGAAAGUUUUUUCGGUGUGGGAUGAGCUCGCGGCCUAUCAGCUUGUUGGUGGGGUAAUGGCCUACCAAGGCGUCGACGGGUAGCCGGCCUGAGAGGGUGUACGGCCACAUUGGGACUGAGAUACGGCCCAGACUCCUACGGGAGGCAGCAGUGGGGAAUAUUGCACAAUGGGCGCAAGCCUGAUGCAGCGACGCCGCGUGGGGGAUGACGGCCUUCGGGUUGUAAACUCCUUUCGCUAGGGACGAAGCGCAAGUGACGGUACCUGGAGAAGAAGCACCGGCUAACUACGUG